UACGUGAGGGGCGAACGUUGUUCGGUGUCACUGGGCUUAAAGGGUGCGUAGGUGGUUGCGUAAGUAACGUGUGAAAUCCCUCGGCUUACCCGGGGAAUUGCGCGUUAUACUGCGUGACUUGAGGAUUUCAGGGGAAUGGGGAACUCCAGGUGUAGCGGUGAAAUGCGCAGAUAUCUGGGGGAAGGCCGGCGGCGAAGGCGCCAGUCUGGGAAAUUCCUGACACUGAGGCACGAAAGCGGGGGGAGCAAACAGG
rnacentral:rRNA from 1 species